GGAUUCCCCUAGUAACGGCGAGUGAAGAGGGAAGAGCCCAAGAUUGAAAGCUGGCGUCUUCGGCGUCCGCAUUGUAAUCUCAAGAAGUGUUUUCCGCUUCGGACCAUGCCUAAGUCCCUUGGAAAAGGGCAUCAUAGAGGGUGAUAAUCCCGUACAUGGCAUGGAGCGCCCGAAGCUUUGUGAUACGCUUUCUAAGAGUCGAGUUGUUUGGGAAUGCAGCUCAAAAUGGGUGGUAAAUGCCAUCUAAGGCUAAAUAUUGGGGAGAGACCGAUAGCGAACAAGUACAGUGAUGGAAAGAUGAAAAGAACUUUGAAAAGAGAGUUAAACAGUACGUGAAAUUGCCAAAAGGGAAGGGUAGGAGGUCAGAGAUGCGGCCUGGGAUUCAGCCUUGCUUUUGCUUGGUGUUUUUCCCAGAUUGCAGGCCAACGUCGGUUUUGGGCACUGGAGAAGGGUAGGAGGAACGUGGCACCUCUCGGGGUGUGUUAUAGCCUCCUACUGGAUACAGCGACCGAGACCGAGGACAGCAGCGUACUCGCAAGAGCGGGCCUUCGGGCACCUUUACGCUUAGGGCGUUGGCAUAAUGGCCCUCUACCACCCGUCUUGAACCACGGACC
rnacentral:rRNA from 1 species